rnacentral:misc_RNA from 1 species
CACAUUAUGAUUGAUCUUGGAACUGGAAAUAACAACAAAAUUAAUUGGGCUCUCAAGGACAAGCAAGAGUUCAUUGACAUUAUUGAGACUGUCUACCGUGGGGCAAGGAAGGGUCGUGGUUUGGUUAUUGCUCCAAAAGAUUACUCCACCAAGUACCGCUACUAAGUGUAAGAAAAAUUAUUCAUUGGACUAUCCGACUAUGUAAGAACCUGUGAUGAAAACAAUAUGUAUGCAUAAAACUUGGCUUCAGAAAUUUGUAGAUUGGAAUUUCCUGGUUAACUAACUAGGAGUUUCUUAUGAUGGUAUGUUUACAUUUUUUGCCAUGUGUGCAGACAAUGUAUCUGACAUUUAUUUUGUG